UAGCUCUGGGCGCAGAGGUUUCUGGGAGCCAAGAGUGGUAAUGGCGUCCGUAUGAUCUUCGGAGUCUGCUGCAUCGGACCUCGGCCAGUCAUAAAAGAUGACAACAGCAGCCAGGCCAACCUUUGAACCUGCAAGAGGUGGAAGGGGAAAAGGAGAAGGUGAUUUGAGCCAACUUUCAAAGCAGUAUUCAAGCAGAGACCUACCCUCUCAUACAAAGAUAAAAUACAGACAGACUACUCAGGAUGCCCCUGAAGAGGUUCGUAACCGUGACUUCAGGAGAGAGUUGGAAGAAAGAGAGAGAGCUGCUGCAAGAGAGAAAAAUAGGGAUCGUCCAACCCGAGGUACCAACACUAUCCAAGACAUUUGUCUCAUAAAAUUAUGUUGUUGAUAGUUUUUCAUUAUGUAGCAAUUGGAAAAUGUUAACCAUUUACUUUUACAGAUUGAUGUGAGCUGUACUACUUUCUUAGGUCAUUAGAGAUAAUAACAACAAAUAUUUACCAAAGGCUUAUUUGCCCAGGCACUGUGGAUGUGAGUUCACUGUGGAUAAUGCUUUUAAUGUGGGCUCCUUGUGCCCACAGGUCCCUAAAACAUUUUAAGAAAUGAAGUAUUUGUUUUACUAAGUUAAAUGAUUUUUGUUUCCCCCCAGAACAUACAACCUCCUCUUCAGUGUCAAAAAAGCCACGGUUAGACCAGAUUCCUGCCGCCAACCUUGAUGCCGAUGACCCUCUAACAGAUGAGGAAGAUGAAGAUUUUGAAGAAGAAAGUGAUGAUGAUGAUACUGCAGCUCUUCUUGCAGAACUGGAAAAAAUUAAAAAAGAAAGAGCUGAAGAGCAGGCCAGGAAGGAACAAGAACAAAAAGCUGAAGAAGAGAGGAUUCGUAUGGAAAACAUUCUGAGCGGAAACCCUCUCCUUAAUCUCACUGGCCCAUCCCAGCCUCAGGCCAACUUCAAAGUUAAAAGAAGGUGGGAUGAUGACGUUGUCUUCAAGAACUGUGCAAAAGGUGUAGAUGACCAGAAGAAAGACAAAAGAUUUGUAAAUGACACACUGCGAUCUGAAUUUCACAAAAAGUUCAUGGAGAAAUAUAUUAAAUAGUACAGUUUUAUGUGCUU
rnacentral:sRNA from 1 species